GCCGCCGCUCACACUAGCUGGAGUGACCUUCGGAGCUGCAGGAAUAUAAAACAAAACAAAAAAAAGAGAGAGAGAGAGAUUGAUUUAGCCUUGCUGACGUGAUGCUGAAAACUGACACGGAGCAAUGCUCAGCGUGCAAGCGCAGAUUAAGACAUUGUUUUUAAAUCUGGGGGCUGUCUGGAAAAUGAAAUGUUGAUCUCGGUUCUGCAGAUUGGGCAACCUUCCAUUUGUUUGUAUUGCCAUUUCCUAAAUAUAUCAUACAAAUGGAUUAAAUCCCAUUUGGACUUUUGAAACAGAUCCUGAACAGAAUCCCCCAUGGCUUCCGAAGUGGAUGAGCUGCUCAUUGAAGAACCAGGUGAACGUGAGGUCCAGUGAGGGAUCGUGGCUGACUUGACAAGAAAUUUCCUGGACAAAAGCUGUGAGAGUAGUGCCAUCAGGUGGAACAACUGGGUGGCUUAAGUAUAGAAGGAGGUCAGCUUUUUUAAAGAUCAUACCAUAGCAUUUCAUUCGGAUUGAAGUCUGUACUUUGAUGAGCUCACUGCAAAA